ACACCAAUACAUCUACACUGUUUCUCAACUCCCCACGCGAAUUUCCCAAACCCAAAUCCUUCCUGUUCUUCACGAAUCCCUUUGACAUAAUCGAAGAAGAUAUCAUCGUCUUCCCGGUCAUCGACGACGACAUUUACCAUCACCAUCGUUUUUCUCUUCACAAUCACCCCUUCUUUCUCAGUUCCAAUAUUCUCCAAUACACAGAAGCCAAAACCCCCCAAUUUUUUUCAUUGACAAAAAUCAAAAACGAUACACAUCUCCUAUCUGAUUAUUCAGCUGAAGCUGGGACUAGUGCAAGUGAGAAUUUUGAUAGUGUUGUUGUUGAUUAUGUUGAUCAUAGAGAAGGAGUGUAUUCUCCUAAGAUAGAGAUUGAUCCGGUUCUCGGGGUUGCGAGGCCGAACCGGGAUGAUGAGACUGAACUAGAUUUUGCAUCCAAGCAUGGAGUUAGAAGGAGUGAGAAAGAUAGGUUUUUGAGGUCAAACUAUGCCUUGAAUGGGAUAGUAGGGAACCAAAAUCAGAGGAGCAAAAAUGGGGUUGAACCUGUUUUGGAUUAUGGUGAUAAAAAAAUUGAUUUAAGAGGGAAUGGUGAUACUAAUGGAGUGGUGAAUACUUGGACUUGGAGUCGCUGCGGUUGCUCCAAUGCCAGAGAAAAAGAAGGAAGAGGAAGGUGUAAAUAAAGGAGAUGUUAAGGUGAAUCUGUAUGCAGAAGGGGAGGAGCCUGUUGAUAAAGAAUGGCAGAGACCAUCUGGAAUGAAGUAUGGACUCACAGAAAAUCCUGGUCUUGGUUAGUUUAAAUUGAUUUUACCUGUUUCUCACAUUUAACUUGCAAAGCUAAUUUUGGAUAGUUAUCAAAAUAGUAUGGUUGGUUUAACUUGUAUUUGUAUGACAAAAUUGAUGUCUUAACCUUUGACGCACUUACAUAGACACAAACACUUAACUCAACAUUGACACUUACUCGUCAACAGAGGUAAUAAUUUGAGAAAAUGGAUAAUUAAAUGGAACUGCAUGUAUUAGUGUCAGUUCGGUGUCACACAAAUAGAUGUUAACCUUUAUGUUCUGCAUGUAUCAGUGUCAGUUCGGUGUCACACAAAUAGAUGUUAACCGAGACUGUUCUGAUAUUGACGCAUAUUUGCAACUUGUCCUGCAAAUUGCUACCACCAGAGAAGAAAAAAGUUGUGUUGUGGUAAUCUGGCAUCGUGAAGAAUUACAUGAUAAGUACAUCAAUGGAUGCAACUAACGAACAGCUCCGCAAAGAAUCGGAGGAAAAAAGAGAUUAAGUCAAAACUUACUACAAUGCACUUGAGAAGUAGCCGUGUGCUCUGAAUUGUGCUGCUGGAUCAGUGUUGUGAUAUUAUACUUGGAUGCUUUGCCUCUGCCCUGAUGCUGGUGCAAUGGUACAAAGUUAACAUUAAGCAUAGCAGGCCCCAUCACGUAGCUGCUGUUCUAGAUAAGUGGCCUUCGCCCCCGAAAUUUUUUACGAAGAUUAAUGUUGAUGUUGUCUGCUUCCAGAAUGGAAUUAUAUGUUGGGGCUUGAUAGCUAGAGACCACUCGGGGUCGGUUUUGUAUGCUGCAACAAAUUGUGAAGACAUUGAAGUUUCUCCGUUAGUUGCUGAAAUCAUGGAUGCUGAAGCAGUAGUGAAGUGUGUGUGUGUGUGUGUGUGUGUGUGUGUGUACGGUGUUACUAAACAUGCUGCUAUUGCUGAUUUAGUCUUAGAUUGUUUAGAAAUUCUUGCAAGGCUAGAGAAUGCUAGUGUUAGUUUUGUUAAAAGAGCCUUGUUGGUUUAGAACUUUCUGUUGGUUGUAAGUCUUGGGAAGGCAAGGUUCCUGACCAAAUUAUAUCUUCUCUUUGUAAGGAUUUUCCUAUUUAUCAAUGAAAUUCCUUUACUGUCAAAAAAAUAAAGAAAGAAGAUAUUUGGAUGA